GAUGAACGCUGGCUACAGGCUUAACACAUGCAAGUCGAGGGGAAACGACGGGGAAGCUUGCUUCCCCGGGCGUCGACCGGCGCACGGGUGAGUAACGCGUAUCCAACCUGCCUCUGACUGAGGGAUAACCCGUCGAAAGUCGGCCUAAUACCUCAUGGCAUCGUCUGCGGGCAUCCAACGACGAUUAAAGAUUUCAUCGGUCAGGGAUGGGGAUGCGUCUGAUUAGCUAGUUGGCGGGGUAACGGCCCACCAAGGCGACGAUCAGUAGGGGUUCUGAGAGGAAGGGCCCCCACAUUGGAACUGAGACACGGUCCAAACUCCUACGGGAGGCAGCAGUGAGGAAUAUUGGUCAAUGGGCGAGAGCCUGAACCAGCCAAGUAGCGUGCAGGAUGACGGCCCUAUGGGUUGUAAACUGCUUUUAGGAGGGGAUAAAGUGAGGGACGUGUCCUUCAUUGCAGGUACCGCAUGAAUAAGGACCGGCUAAUUCCGUG
rnacentral:rRNA from 1 species